rnacentral:rRNA from 1 species
AUUGAACGCUGGCGACAGGCCUAACACAUGCAAGUCGAGCGCGAAAGUCUUCGGAUGAGUAAAGCGGCGAACGGGUGAGUAAUGCAUGGGAAUCUGCCUGGUAGUGGGGGACAACGUCUCGAAAGGGACGCUAAUACCGCAUACGCCUACGGGGGAAAGGGGGGAUCUUCGGACCUCUCGCUAUCAGAUGAGCCCAUGUCAGAUUAGCUAGUUGGUGAGGUAAAGGCUCACCAAGGCGACGAUCUGUAACUGGUCUGAGAGGAUGAUCAGUCACACUGGAACUGAGACACGGUCCAGACUCCUACGGGAGGCAGCAGUGGGGAUAUUGGACAAUGGGGGCAACCCUGAUCCAGCCAUGCCGCGUGUGUGAAGAAGGCCCUA